rnacentral:rRNA from 1 species
CCGGUCUAUGGAGGGCCUAUCCCCUCCACUCAUUUGAAUCAUGCUGGUCCACCUCCUAAGUAUGAAAAAGGUGUAGAUUUUGAUAAUUGGGUCUAUCGCUUUAAGCGUCAUUUGAAACAUGUGAACACUAACCUUUGGAGAGUCAUUGAAGAAGGUUUUUAUCCUCAUGACCCAAGCAACUUCACCCCUCGAGAAGCCGUGGACAAUCAAUUCAAUGAGAGUGCUCUCUUCAUCAUUCAAGAUGCAAUUCUUCCCGAAGAUCUCCCUCACCUUCGACCCCACGUCGUGGCUAAAGAAGCAUGGAAAUGUGUUGAGGGCCUCUAUCGUGGAAGUGCUAGCAUUCAACGGUCCAACUAUGAA